GAUGAACGCUGGCGGCGUGCCUAACACAUGCAAGUCGAGCGAGAUAAAUGUGAGUGGAGACUUCGGUCAAAGCAAUCAUUUUGAAAGCGGCGGACGGGUGAGUAACGCGUGAGCAAUCUGCCCCAUACAAAGGGAUACCCACUGGAAAUGGUGAUUAAUACCUUAUAAGACCACGAAGCCGCCUGGCUUAGUGGCCAAAGAUUUAUCGGUAUGGGAUGAGCUCGCGUCUGAUUAGCUAGUUGGUGAGGUAAUGGCUCACCAAGGCGACGAUCAGUAGCCGACCUGAGAGGGUGAACGGCCACACUGGAACUGAGACACGGUCCAGACUCCUACGGGAGGCAGCAGUGGGGAAUAUUGCACAAUGGGCGCAAGCCUGAUGCAGCAACGCCGCGUGAAUGAUGAAGGCCUUCGGGUCGUAAAGUUCUGUCCUAAGGGAAGAAUACAGUGACGGUACCUUAGGAGGAAGCCCCGGCUAACUACGUGCCAGCCGCCGCGGUAA
rnacentral:rRNA from 1 species